GUCCAAAAUACAGUGAUGGUGUCUUUCUCAAGCACAUACCUGAUUGCUCUGUGUGGAAGCUGACUGUUGCUGAGUGAUUUUGGAU
ensembl:snoRNA small nucleolar RNA SNORD121A